AAAACUGACAAUUCACUGAGGACGUUCACAUUCACUGUUGAUCUCUUCUCAUUUUGCUGAGCCUGCAGAAAGCUAUUUUUAGCUGUGAUGUAAAAACCGCUGUGUGCUUAAUUACCUGAAGCCUCAGCAGAUUAUCAGCUCCCUCACAGCUGGA